AUGGCCUAUUUGGUCCCAGGUUCUCGGAGGUGCUUGCGCACCAGCGGUCAGUCCGUGAGGAUCGUUCCCGGUUCGGGACGAUCCAUGGGGCCGCCUCCGACUCCAGCCCCGGUGCAGCAGCCGCAGCCGCCGCGCACGGGGAGAGCAGCAGCGCCACGGACCGGGAAGUUCCGGACGCUUGCUCCUACUUUUUCUUUCCCUAUUAAAGAAAAGAGUAAAGACCGUUCGGCCGAACGGCAGUACAUGGUACCUAAAGAGCGAUAUUCCCCAGGCCACCUGCGCCCUACGCUUGUGGUGCGCUCCUCCAUGUUGCCUCUUUCCCCCUCUCAGCCCGGUGGCUGUAGGGUGGCGGUCGGACGGCGUGUUCACUUGGCCUCUGGUUCACCUGCUUCUAAGAAGCGGCGUCCCUUGGAGCCUCGUGGACGGAUCAGAGACUCGUUGCACGGUCUCCUGGUUUCCCACAUUAUAGGUGAGGAGAUGGGUCCGCGCGCUGUGGCUACAGCCUGCGGACAGCGCAUGCGCACAGGUGCUGCGGCCGGACGGCUCGCUCCCUGUUCAGCGGGCACGAGCGCGACGUCUAGACAGCUCGUUGUUUUUACAACUGCUAGUUGUGGUACGUCUCCUACGCUCGCUGAGCCUCCUCCCUUUCGUGGGAAGCCCCCCUUGGUCCACACGCAGUGUGAAGGCGGUAGGGGCAGAGGAAUACGGGUUAUUCCUGGACGGUCUUCCUCAGCUGUCGGCUCGCCCUCUCUCCAACCGCUAUGCGUGUUGGCAAGAGCGGUGCGUUCUGCCAUCGUGGUUGGACACCACGUUGAGAUGGGGCCAUCCCAUACAGUUCAAGCGUCGUCCCCAACCCUUUAUGGGGUUGGUGGAGACCACGCUACGGGACCCGGCUGCGAGCACGGCUCUGGCAGCAGAGGUGGCACGUCUCUUGGUAAAGGGGGCCAUCACUGUCGUUCCCCCCCACGAGUCUCACCUAGGUUUUUAUUCCCGCUACUUCCUGGUUUCCAAGAAGUCAGGGGAAAUGAGACCUAUUCUGGAUCUUCGCGUGUUCAACAGAUUCGUUGCCACGAGGAAGUUCAGAAUGCUCACGGUCGGAGCAUUGUUCCGGUGUGUGAGAGAGGACGAUUGGUUCACAUCCCUGGAUCUCAAGGAUGCUUACUUCCACGUCCCUGUUCGGCAGGCGCACAGGAAGUUUCUCCGCUUUGCCUUUAUGGGGAUGGCGUACGAGUACCAGUGUCUGCCGUUCGGCUAUUCCCUGGCGCCGCGCACCUUCUCGAAGUGUGUGGAGACGGCGUUGGAACCGCUCAGACGUCAGGGAAAGAGGAUUCUCUUCUACCUAGACGAUCUGCUUAUUCUGAGCAACUCAGAAGAGACCGCGAGAAGGGACACCAUGUUGGUGAUAAACCAUCUCUCCUUCCUGGGUUUUGCCAUCAACUGGGAGAAGAGCUCCCCGCUCCCCAGCCGGCAGACAGUCUACUUGGGGCUUUGCCUAGACUCAGCCACCAUGACUGCGAUGCUUUCGCCUCCUCGGCGAGACGCCAUCCUGUCGGCGCUCUCCCGUUUUCACGUUCACAGAAACGUGACCGCACUGUCCACCAUGCGCCUGUUGGGGCUGAUGGCAGCUGCCCACCCCGUGGUCCCCCUGGGUCUGCUUUUUAUGCGCAGACUCCAGCGGUGGUUUGCUCGCCAACGGUUGGACCCCAGGCGACACAAGCUCAGGGUGCUCCUCGUCCCCCGUUCGGUGUCGCCAGACCUGGAAUAUUGGAAAGGACCCUCCGCCCUUCUCAAGGGUGCUCCACUGGGCAGGGUGGCGUCCUACGUAGUGGUCUUCACGGACGCCUCGUUGACGAGUUGGGGAGGAACGUGCCUCUCUCACUCGGUCGGAGACGAGUGGCGCACGCCCCCUACAGCACACAUAAAUGUGUUGGAGCUCGACGCUGUGAGGAAAGUGCUGUUGCAUUUCUUUCACCUGGUGCGCGGCCGCCACGUUCUGAUCAGGACAGACAGCGUGUCGGCGGCGGCGUACAUCAACAGACAGGGGGGAGUCCGCUCCCCUGCUCUCCACCGAAAGGCGGUCGAGCUCUGGCUUUGGGCUCAUCAGUAUCUCCGCAGUCUGAGAGCCCUGCAUAUCGCGGGCGCCAAGAACUUUGGGGCGGACCUCAUGUCUCGAGGCGGUCCCCGCCGAGACGAGUGGCGGUUACAUCCCGACAUUGUCAGACUGAUCUGGCAGAGGUUCGGGACAGCGCAGGUGGACCUCUUCGCGUCCCGGGAGAACACGCACUGCAGGUGGUGGUUCUCCCUCAGCCCUCGGGAUCUUCCCCCGUUGGGGGUAGAUGCGUUGGCACACACACCUUGGCCGCGGGCUCUCUUGUAUGCGUUUCCCCCGCUCCAGCUGAUCCUUCCUCUUCUGGAACGGGUCAGACAGGAGAGACUGUCCCUGAUAUUAGUGGCCCCGGAGAACCGUUCAGCUCUGUGGUUUCCAGAGCUUGCCGCGCUCUCGCGGUCGGCGCCUUGGCCAGUACCAUUCAGGCCGGAUGCGUUUUCACAGGCCCACGGGACGGUGCACCACCCGCCCGAUGUCUCGGGACGGCUGUUGGUUUGGCUCCUGAGAGGUUGAUCCUGCAGGGCAAAGGUUUGCCUGAGACGGUUAUCAACACUAUUCAGAGUGCUCGUGCGCCUUCUACUUCUUCCCUCUAUGCGGCGAAGUGGUGCGCCUUCUCUAAUUGGUGUGAGACGAACCACGCUGUCCCAUCUCAAUGCGAGGUGGGAAGCGUGCUUUCGUUUCUGCAAAACUUAUUGGAAAAAGGUUUGGCCUUCUCCACUAUCAAGGUCUAUGCGGCAGCCGUUUCGGCUGGCCAUGCAGGCUGUGAUGGUGGACCGAUCUUCAGCCAUCCACUGGUCAAGAGAUUCUUGCGUGGGGCUAGACGGGUUAGGCCUGUUUCACGCGUGCUUACACCACGCUGGGAUCUCCCCACCGUGUUGCGCGGAUUGUCCAGGGAUCCUUUCGAGCCUCUCUCCCAGGCCCCUUUCGAUGCCCUGUCAUUCAAGACGGCGCUCUUGUUGGCCUUGGUUUCUGCCAAGCGGGCCGGUGAGCUAACCGCUCUGUCUGUCAGCCCGAGUUGCUUGUUGCUAAACGAGGACAGCUCCUUCGCGUUGCUCAGACCUAAUCCUGCGUUCCUCCCGAAGAACAUUAAUAGUUCUUUUCGGUCGAGGGAUAUUGUGCUUAAGGCUUUUCACCCCCCGCCUCAUUGUAGUGAGGCGGAGGCGGAGUUGCAUCUCCUGUGCCCGGUUCGGGCGUUGGCUAUGUACGUGAAUCGCUCGGCAGCGUUCCGCUCCACACAACAGUUGUUUGUGUGUUAUAGCGACGCUAGCAGGGGCCGCGCUCUCUCUAAGCAGCGGUUUUCUCGCUGGGUAUGUGAGGGUGUUUGCCUAGCCUACUCUCGGCAGGGCUUGGCGCCACCGUUGGGCGUUAAAGCUCACUCCACACGGAGCGUGGCCGCUUCAACGGCUCUACUCAAGGGCGUUUCGGUGGAAGACAUCUGCGCGGCUGCGUCUUGGUCUUCCCCCGGCCCCUUUGUCCGUUUUUACAUGUUAGACAUGUCCAGGGGCUCACUCGGCAACUCUGUGCUAGAGUCCGGGACCCCUUUUACGGCUUAA
rnacentral:lncRNA from 1 species